rnacentral:rRNA from 1 species
GAUGAACGCUGGCGGCGUGCCUAAUACAUGCAAGUCGAGCGACCACACGAUGAGCUUGUUCUUCUAACGUUAGCGGCGGACGGGCGAGUAACACGUGCAUAACCUACCUCUUUGACUGGGAGAACUUCGGGAAAACGGAGCUACUACUGGCUAAUAUAUUGAACCGCAUGAUUCAAUAGUGAUAGACAGUUUUGGUGUCUCUUUUAGCUGGUUCCGGGUCGGAUUAGCUAGUUGGUAAGGUAACGGCUUACCAAGGCGACGAUGCGUAGCCGACCUGAGAGGGUGAUCGGCCACACUGGAACUGAGACACGGUCCAGACUCCUACGGGAGGCAGCAGUGGGGAAUCUUCGGCAAUGGGCGAAAGCCUGACGGAGCAACACCGCGUGAGUGAUGAAGGUCUUCGGAUCGUAAAACCCUGUUAUUAGGGAAGAACAAAAGUGUAAGUAACUAUGGCCGUCUUGACGGUACCUAAUGAAAAAGCCACGGCUAACUACGUG